UACGGGGGGGGCAAGCGUUGUUCGGAAUUACUGGGCGUAAAGGGCGCGUAGGCGGCCUGUUAAGUCGAACGUGAAAUCCCUGGGCUCAAGCCAGGAACUGCGUCCGAUACUGGCAGGCUUGAAUCCGGGAGAGGGAUGUGGAAUUCCAGGUGUAGCGGUGAAAUGCGUAGAUAUCUGGAGGAACACCGGUGGCGAAGGCGGCAUCCUGGACCGGUAUUGACGCUGAGGCGCGAAAGCCAGGGGAGCAAACGGG
rnacentral:rRNA from 1 species